CAUGAACUUGGCAACAGGUCCGCUCAAUUUAUGACAGGCCUUUUCCUCGUGGAAGUGAUAAGGGGCAUUCGUGGUGCGAAACUAUACUAAUCUCAGAGCAAACCAAAAACGAAUAAAAAGGGAAAAACGCCAGGGAUGUGAUAACCUUAUCAGGGAAUGAUACACACGACCAGCUGGGAUGCUCGACUAUCAGAUGACCUGUACUUGUUCCAGAUGUUACAAAAUAUGACGAUUGUUUCUUAUCACAUCAUGCGGGAACUCUUAUCUAAGCACUUCGAUUCCUGUACCGCAAAUCAGCAUAUUCCUUUAGUCUCGGCAUUUGUACAGGGUAUAGACAAAAAGAGUACGCGAUUAUAUUUGUUAUACAACAGCAUAGCGACAGAUUGGGACACAUACUCGCAGUACAUGUGGUGAGUAUCGCAACGGCACUGGCUUGGAAAAAACUGGUUCUA